rnacentral:rRNA from 1 species
AUUGAACGCUGGCGGCAGGCCUAACACAUGCAAGUCGAGCGGAUGACGGGAGCUUGCUCCUUGAUUCAGCGGCGGACGGGUGAGUAAUGCCUAGGAAUCUGCCUGGUAGUGGGGGACAACGUUUCGAAAGGAACGCUAAUACCGCAUACGUCCUACGGGAGAAAGCAGGGGACCUUCGGGCCUUGCGCUAUCAGAUGAGCCUAGGUCGGAUUAGCUAGUAGGUGAGGUAAUGGCUCACCUAGGCGACGAUCCGUAACUGGUCUGAGAGGAUGAUCAGUCACACUGGAACGGAGACACGGUCCAGAAUCCUACGGGAGGCAGCAGUGGGGAAUAUUGGACAAUGGGCGAAAGCCUGAUCCAGCCAUGCCGCGUGUGUGAAGAAGGUCUUCGGAUUGUAAAGCACUUUAAGUUGGGAGGAAGGGCAGUAAGCUAAUACCUUGCUGUUUUGACGUUACCGACAGAAUAAGCACCGGCUAACUCUGUGCCAGCCGCCGCAGUAACAC